GACGAACGCUGGCGGCGUGCUUAACACAUGCAAGUCGAACGAAGUGGCGAACGGGUGAGUAACGCGUAAUCAACCUGCACUUCAGAGGGGGACAACAGUUGGAAACGACUGCUCAUACCGCAUACUGAAGGAGGGGAUUGCGUGUGAUUAGCUUGUUGGAGGGGUAACGGCCCACCAAGGCGAUGAUCAGUAGCCGGUCUGGGAGGAUGAACGGGCACAUUGGGACUGGGACACGGCCCAGACUCCUACGGGAGGCAGCAGGGGGGAAACUUCCGCAAUGGACGAAAGUCUGAAGGAGCAACGCCGCCGGAGUGAUGACGGCCUUCGGGUUGUAAAGCUCUGUUAAUCGGGACGCGGUACCGGAAUAGAAAGCCACGGCUAACUACGUGCCAGCAGCCGCGGUAAUUC
rnacentral:rRNA from 1 species